rnacentral:rRNA from 1 species
UACAGAGGUCCCAAGCGUUGUUCGGAUUCACUGGGCGUAAAGGGUGCGUAGGUGGUGAGGUAAGUCGGAUGUGAAAUCUCCGGGCUCAACCCGGAAAUGGCAUUGGAAACUACCUUGCUGGAGGAUUUGAGGGGGGAUUGGAAUACUUGGUGUAGCAGUGAAAUGCGUAGAUAUCAAGUGGAACACCAGUGGCGAAGGCGAAUCCCUGGAAAAUACCUGACGCUGAGGCACGAAAGCCAGGGGAGCAAACGGG